rnacentral:rRNA from 1 species
AGGACGAACGCUGGCGGCGUGCUUAACACAUGCAAGUCGAGCGGAAAGGCCCUUCGGGGUACUCGAGCAGCGAACGGGUGAGUAACACGUGAGCAAUCUGCCCUUAGCUCCGGGAUAGCUCCGGGAAACCGGAAUUAAUACCGGAUACGACCACAGCCGACAUCUGCUGUGGUGGAAAGGAUUCCGGCUAAGGAUGGGCUCGCGGCCUAUCAGCUGGUUGGUGAGGUAACGGCCCACCAAGGCGACGACGGGUA